rnacentral:rRNA from 1 species
UACGUAGGGAGCAAGCGUUGUCCGGAAUCAUUGGGCGUAAAGCGCGCGUAGGUGGCUUCGUAAGUCCGUUGUGAAAGUCAAAGGCUCAACCUUUGAAAGCCGAUGGAUACUGUGAAGCUAGAGUACGGAAGAGGCGAGUGGAAUUCCUGGUGUAGCGGUGGAAUGCGCAGAUAUCAGGAGGAACACCAAUGGCGAAGGCAGCUCGCUGGGACGUGACUGACGCUGAGGAGCGAAAGCGUGGGGAGCGAACAGG